UACCGCCAACGCUCCCGUUUCUACUUUCCGUUUCACCAAAAAGUGUUUUUCGGUGCUGGGGCUUACAUAUAUUACACAGAAUUAAACCAACACCACUCUGCAAGUGUGCUACUAGUGGGCUUACGUGCAGCUCAUGUCAAAUACAUGUUGUGAACGCUGCAGAGAAUGUUAUUGCCAAGGGUCUUGGGAUGAGUGAGCAUCGGAGGCGACAUGUACAUGGAGAAAUGAACAGCAUAUAAGCACAUUAUAUGACCAGCGGGACACCAUGGAGGAGAUACAGAAGGAGGUCGUCCGGCUGUGCAACGGCUACCCGGAGGGUCUUCCAAUACAGGAGAUCCAUGGCCUCUACCAGCGGACCUACGGGAAACCCCUGCGUCUCGGGACCCCUAAAAGGUUUGCCCCGCUGCAGACCCUGCUUAGGAGCGUGCCUGACCAUCUCUAUCUGUGCCCCGAUGGGGAGAUGGUAGUGUGGCCCAUCGCAUCUCGGCCAUCGGCCUCGCGGUCGGCACCUUCUUUCCCGUCGCCGCCGGCUGCCCUAGCAGCAGCAGCACGCGGCCCUCGGCUGGCCUCACCGCGGAACGGCAGCUCCGGCGGUAAAGGCAACCCGGAACUCGUGUUUACACAUCCUUCUACCCGUGAAAGUGCCCUGGGAACGGCAGUCAAAUCCGCAGCUCACUACCCGUGAACUCAUACCAGAUCGAUGUACU
ensembl:lncRNA